AAAGGGUCCGCAGGCGGGUUUAUAAGUCAGUGGUGAAAGCCUACAGCUCAACUGUAGAACUGCCAUUGAUACUGUAGAUCUUGAAUUCGGUCGAAGUGGGCGGAAUAUGACAUGUAGCGGUGAAAUGCUUAGAUAUGUCAUAGAACACCGAUAGCGAAGGCAGCUCACUAGGCCUGGAUUGACGCUCAGGGACGAAAGCGUGGGGAGCAAACAGGAUUAGAUACCCUUGU
rnacentral:rRNA from 1 species